rnacentral:misc_RNA from 1 species
CUCUUUUUUUUUCCCCUUAUUUUUCUCUUUUUUUUCCCCUUAUUAAUUCGAAAAUGUUUUAAAAGAAAUUCGAUUGUACAUUUAUGUAUGUGGGUUCUAGUUUGCGUUAGUUGGAUAACUUUAUAAGUGACUGUUGUUUUUCAUUUGGAUAUAUAUCUGUGAAUUGCUUUUAAUUUGUUGUAUCACAAGUAGGUUGUCCACCUGUCCUCUUGUCGAUUAGCUAGCUAAAACUAUGGUCACCUUGUAAUCUCCUUAAGAUUCCUAAAAAUGUCAACUCCAUUUCUCACACCAACCACCCUCUCUAUUACUGGUCCAAUCUUUUGUUUCUUGGUUUAGUGUAUAAAUUCGCCAAUCCAAUAAAAACAAUAGUAAAAAUGUCCUCAUUAGUCAUAUUACCUGAUAAGCCUUACUUUAGUUU